AGUGAACGCUGGCGGCGUGCUUAACACAUGCAAGUCGAACGAGAACGGAAUAUAGCUUGCUAUAUUUGUCAGCUAAGUGGCGCACGGGUGAGUAAUGUAUAGAUAACCUGCCCUUAAGAAAGGAAUAACAGUUGGAAACGACUGCUAAUGCCCUAUAUGCCUUUAAUACAUAAGUAUGCAAGGGAAACGCUUUAGUGCUUAAGGAUGGGUCUGUAUGGUAUCAGCUUGUUGGUGAGGUAAUGGCUCACCAAGGCUAUGACUCCUAACUGGUUUGAGAGGAUGAUCAGUCAAACUGGAAAUGAGACACGGUCCAGACUCCUACGGGAGGCAGCAGUGUGGAAUAUUGCACAAUGGACGAAAGUCUGAUGCAGCAACGCCGCGUGGAGGAUGACACAUUUCGGUGCGUAAACUCCUUUUAUAUAGGAAGAUAAUGACGGUACUAUAUGAAUAAGCACCGGCUAACUCCGUGCCAGCCGCCGCCGUAACAC
rnacentral:rRNA from 1 species